AAAAAUUAGAGCACUGUAGGAGUCGCAGUAAUAAUUUUCAUUUACGUGUAUUGUUGCUGUCUUACUUUUGUAACAAGUUUAACUUGGAAGAGAAGAACAACUUUUUCUACGUUGGUGACGAAAUUCUGAUAUUUAUACGAAAUUCUUUGAGGUUAGUUCUGAACAAAAUCGUGUUUGGGAAAUCAAAUAGAACUGAAAAAUAUUCACUCGGCAACCAAAGUAGAAGAUGCGUAGAAUACAGGGUCCCUUUGGAGCGAAAGAUUCAGAAGAAGAACGUAGGAGAACCAGAGAAGGUGUAAUAUCCAACUUAGUUAUGUUCGGUAUAAUCAUAGCAGUCAUCCGAGCAGCUCCUUUGGUUAUUAAGCAGUUGUGAUAGAAUUGAAAGAAUUUUAUCUUUAGUCCUACUUGUCAAGCGUCAUCUUAUUAUGUCCUUUCAUAGUUAAUAAAUGUUAUUUCUGUUUUUGUAGAGA